rnacentral:Y_RNA from 1 species
GGUUGGUACAAAUGCAGUGGUGUUUAUAACUAAUUGAUCACAACCAGUUAUAGAUACCUUUGUUCCUUCUCCAUUCCCACUGCUUCACUUGACCAGCCUUUU